ACGGCAUUUAAGAAAUAUAAACAAGACCCUGGAGUUCAGAAAAUAUUUUUUUAAGCUACAAAUUAAAUGGAAACACAGAAAGGGUACCACCAUAGCAUAUAGAAAGCCAAACGCAAGACUACAAAGGGUGUUGAGAGAUGUUUCCAGCGUAGUAGUAAUUUUGGCAUAACUUGCGUAUUCUCACUACCAAAUGAAAAGGGCCUAAAAUAUUCUAGUUUUAUUUCCUCCUCUCUUCCCCACCCACCCCCCUCACCAUUCAGUUUCAAUAUGUACUGCUUUUUCUAAUAUGUAUCACAAUGAUUGUAAAUGUGAAAGCUAUAUGGUACAUCACCAACUCCAGAAAUACCGUGAACUAUCAGACACCUAAUUGUUAAACCUGUAUUGCCCAGCUCUGAAUACUCUUUCAAUUCUUCAAAUCAGCAGCAGUUCGUUCCUAAAGUAAAAUAUGCGCCGCUAGAGCAAACUCCUUGAUUGUCCCUCUACUCUAGUCCAAUGCCUUGAUUGUUUGCCUAAUCCACAUUGCAGUAUUGGGGUCAAAUCUCAGUUCCCACGUAGGCCAGUAAUGUAGAUCUUGCUUCAAAGUCAACACUCGAGGCUUCCCAUUUAGGUGUACAGUCCUUACACGGGCAAACUCCCCAUGCCCUAAUUCCUUUGUCACAUCAAUGAAAGCAUCUAAAUGAGGCGUUGGUCUCCCAUUAAUUUCAACUAUCCAUUGAAGAGCAUAAAGACCAUAUCUGUGCACAGGGCUUCCAUGACACCACCGAGCCACAUACACACCGUGACCCUCUUCAGGAAGAAAUCCAAGAGCACGAACCGCUGGAUGAGGAUCCUGAACAAUGCAACCACACCAAUUUAUUACACGUGUUGUACCAUUCCCAUCCCUAACAUCUGUUCCCACAACAAGAUCAAUUUCACGUCCCUGUCGAAAAAUGGUCAUGCUAAGUUUCCCUUCAUUGUCGCUGAUCUUGUCUAAAGCUUGGCAAGCAUUUUCUAUAUCACGGAAGCAAGUGACAGGCUCUUUGUUGACUGCCAAAACCAUGUCCCCUUGCUCCAAUAGAUUUUCAGCUUUUGAUCCAGCCAAGCAGCCUUUGACACGCAAAACUUGUCGUCUAAUUGGAUCUUUCUUGACAAGAGCUUGGACCCAAUUAUCGCUCAAACCAAAACUCCGUGCCUUUGAAAGCAGAGUAGGAUAAAGCUCAACCUCCAUAAUCCUGACAAGUGGCAUUGGCCUUCUGACACCAUUUAUGAGUAGAGGUGGGCCAUUUGCACCAUUUACAAUUUUGUCAAGAACUUGACUGAUUGUAUAAAUAGGGAUGCCUCUAACAAAUUGAUGAUCUUCUGAGGUACUGAAACCAUAUUUCAACUGAGUUGAGAAGCUUCCCCAGAUGGCUUGAACCCUUCCAUGCUCAUCAGUUAGCACACCUGAAAAUGUGCUCCCAAAAUCAGUAUCGAGUUCUAUGACUUCCAUAUUUGUUGCUCUAUAACGUGGGCAAUCAGCUGAGCCAAUAUUCAAAGCAGCAAAAGGGUUCGUCACAAUGGAUUUCCUAGAUGUUGCUUGCAGGCUUCUACUUAACCCCACAAGAUAGACCGAAUCCCCACGACGCAAUGCUGGCUCAGGAAGCAAUUCAGCAGCUCGAACCAUUGAGGAACCAGCAGCUCCUAGGGCCGACGGGUCAUAAGCAAUGAGAGCAUAAUUGUGGACAGGAUGAAGAAAAACAACCUCCCCAGGAAUUUCAAUAGGAAAAGCAGCAAAGGACAGCAUCACAUCUGAUGCAGAUAUUGCAACUGUAUUCCUAUCAACUGCAACCAAUCCCAUAUCUUGAGAAUGAUAAAUAAUAACACCAGUCCCAAAGAAAUGUUGCGAAUGGACACCAUCAAUCAUAACUGAUGGUGGAACAUGAACCUCAAACAAUACAAGAGUGGGCUCUAUCACACUUUCUGCAAAUGAAGCAUUGACUGCUGGUGCAAUUGCACCUUGAUAGUCUCUUAAAACUUCAUUCUCGAUGGGACUUGGAUUGUCCAACUUCACUUCUCCAGUUUCAUGCUGUAUGGAACCAUCAGCAACAGCAAUUCCAUUGGCAGGCAAAUCUGAUACCCUUCGUUUCUUUGUUCCAACAUCAGAUUCAUCCCGGGAAUGUGGCUCCCCAGAAGAAUGUUCAGAACUGGUUUCCAUACUUGCAACACCAUCAGCCAUUUCUGGGUUGUCAUCUUGAUUUACAUUUUCUAUAUGAGUUGCUUCUCCACCCAGCAAAACAGUUUGCCUAGUUGGGCCUUGUCCAAUAUCAUUAAUAGAAGAUGAUAGCCUCCAGGACUCAGAUUGAAUAGCAGGCUUUGCUGUCCACAAACCAGAGCUGUCAUCACGAGUGUAUAUCUGUGGAGAGGCAUACCAUUCAUGGCGAUCAACUGUAACCAGGACAGACUUCCUUCGAUGACGAUCCACGUAGCUUAUGUAUUCUAAUGGUACUCUUGCACCCCUAGAUAGCUUAGAUAGAGCAGAGAUUAGUUCAUCCAGCUGUGAUAUCUCCUCAUUAGCAAACUUCUUGAUGAUUGCAUGGCGAGGAACUCCAGCUCUAAAUAGCAUAUAUCCAGGUUCCGAAACAUACACCAGACCACACUGGAAACGGAAAUUUCUGGCCUGUUGGUAAGACAGAGGAUGUAUCACUGCACCACUUACUUCUAAGAAAUAGUCAGGUGUUAUAGAAUGUAAAUCCUGAACCACCAAGUUUACAGUCAAGGAAGUGCCGCCUCUUUCAAUUUGUAACUCAAUUUUAUGGUUAACACAGUCAUCAAGCAAAGUCUCCAAUUUCAGAAAUUGUGUAGUUACCUACAAUAGGAUUCAAAGGUAUCACAGGAUAUGAUAUGUAAGAAAGACAGCAAAAGUUGAAUCUGCAUGAAUGCCUGAGACUUGAGAGGCACUAAGACAGAGAAAGAGUUCAGGUGAAAUGGAGUGACAAUAUUGAUUUCAAUUCUCAAAUUUUACAAUUACGAUAGCAAUCCAGUAACUAGAAUUUAGAAUACCCUAAAGUCAUCCAGCAUACAUAGUUACAAUAAAACACUAAGUUUAAUUUGACUAAAUUCAUAACUUACUUCGCCAUUCACACGAAUAAGCACAUCACCUGGCUCCAACUGUAUAUGAGCUGGGCCACCUGGCACCACAGAAUCAACAACAAGCAUUCCAGUUUCCCCAGCGGGAGAUGCAUGCCGUACCAUCUGUUCUGUUUCACUACGAAGACCGAGUCGGCGUGUCUCAUCAAAUCCUUUAUGGAGAAAUGUAACCUAUAUCAUAAAAAACUGAUGCCAAAUCAUAAAACAAUAAUUCAUACAGCAUCAUGCAAAAAAUGCCAAAUGACAUCAAGUAAAGCAACCAUUUGAUGAUCACAAAACUUUCAUAUUAACUUAACUUUUUAACCAUUUCAUUGCACAAAACAAAAUGAUUGCCACAAAUCAUAUGUACUUAAACGCGUUCAGUAAUGGAUCCAAAAAUUCUUGUUAGUGAGGACAAUUUAUAGAUAUAUAAAUACACAUUCUCAUUCAUAUAUGCACUCAACUAAUAAAUUUAUUUCAAUUAAUAACAAAUUAAUUAAUUUCAGGGAUCUAAAAUAUGAAUAAUCCAAACAUUAAUGGGAAUAAGAGAAAAUUAUUUAACGAAAAAAAAAAUAAUAAUAAGGCACAUCUUUGAGUGUGGAGGCAAAUUAAUACCUUCAAAUAUGGGGCAAUGCUAGAAUUUUACACAGAAAAAUUAAUUUUUGAAAGGAAAUUUGAGGGCAUUGAGGGCAACUGUAUCCGUCCCUGAACAUGUUUGGAAUAUGAAAGCAAUGACUGAAACACACGCGUGCAUGCACACAAGCAUGUGCAAGUGAAUGCAGAAAAUACUACUCUAUCUCCACAAUGAACAAAUUUUUACAACAAUUUCUUGUUUUGUCAUUAUGAUGUUCUCCUCUCAUUCAUAUGCAUUGGCCAAUAUGGGAAUUUUCACCAGAAAAAAGAAACAGAAAGGACCUGGGUGCAUAAAUUUAACAGCCAUACAUCUUCUUCCCAAAUAAACAUGUACCAUGUGAAGUCAUGAACAUCAAGACUGAAACGUGUGCACAUGCAAACAUGAGCACGUGCAUGUGAAUGCAGAAAACACUAUACCUCCACAAGGAACAAAUAUUUACGACAAUUCCUUGUUUUAUCAUUAUAUUUUCACCUCUCAUUCAUAUGCAUUGACCACUAUGGGAAUUUUCACCAGGAAAGGAAAAAAAGAAAGGACCUGUGCGCAGAAAUUUAACAGCCAUACAUCUUCUUCCCAAAUAAACAUGUACCAUGUGAAGUCAUGAACAUCAAGACUGAAACGUGUGCACAUGCAAACAUGAGCACGUGCAUGUGAAUGCAGAAAACACUAUACCUCCACAAGGAACAAAUAUUUACGACAAUUCCUUGUUUUAUCAUUAUAUUUUCACCUCUCAUUCAUAUGCAUUGACCACUAUGGGAAUUUUCACCAGGAAAGGAAAAAAAGAAAGGACCUGUGCGCAG
rnacentral:misc_RNA from 1 species